AACGAACGCUGGCGGCAUGCCUAACACAUGCAAGUCGAACGAGACCUUCGGGCCUAGUUGCGCACGUGUGCUUAACGCGUGGGAAUCUGCCCUUGGGUUCGGUAUAACAGUGAGAAAUUUCUGCUAAUACCGGAUGAUGUCUUCGGACCAAAGAUUUAUCGCCCAGGGAUGAGCCCGCGUAGGAUUCGCUAGUUGGGGGGGUAAUCGCCUCCCAAGGCGACGAUCCUUAGCUGGUCUGAGAGGAUGAUAAGCCACACUGGGACUGAGACACGGCCCAGACUCCUACGGGAGGCAGGAGUGGGGAAUAUUGGACAAGGGGCGCAAGCCUAAUCCAGCAAUGCCGGGUAAGUGAUGAAGGCCUUAGGGUUGUAAAGCUCUUUUACCCGAGAUGAUAAUGACAGUACCGGGAGAAUAAGCUCCGGCUAACUCCGUG
rnacentral:rRNA from 1 species